CCCCUCGAGCUCGUGCCGAUUCACGUCCUGCGGCCCCUCGUCGAGCUUGUUGUCGUCUUGCGAGCCCAGGUUGAUGCUGAAUUGCUUCAGAAUCAAUUACAUACGUAUGCUUCCACAUGAUUGAUGAUGUGCCCACAGGAGAGGCUCCGAAAGUUGAUGGUGGAAGGGCUGCUUGAAUCAGAUGCUAGAUAGUUGCAGUCUUCUACGGAAAACGGUUCCUACUGUAAAAUGAAAUUCUUGAGCGAUAGGUUGUAGUCGUGUUUGCUGUUAUUCCUUUACCAUCUGCGGGAGGUGCUGCAAUAUAUCAAGGUGCAGCUGUUCCAUGAUCCCCAGUUCGACGGCGAGCUUGAAUAGCCGGCCCAGCACUAUGCACUGUGUGUACAAGCAAGGUAUGGAUUGAAGCAAAAGUCCCUAAACAAGCAACAAGUGAUGACA